UGUGGCUGUUCCUGAGUCACCGCAGUUCCAAUCCUGCCGUGCCUGCUCAGCGCCGUUCAACGGAAGGCUUCGGAGGCUGUUAGCAGUGCUGAUGUUUGCACUGCUGCCAUAGGAGACAGCCUGGCAAGGGGGGGGGGGAAACCUCAAACACCCCUAAUGAAGCCUAGGACAGGUGGAGCUGGGAAAAUAUCAGAAAACACAACUGAGAACCUUUUCUGCUUGCGAGGAUGACAUAUGGUGACUUAAUGGCUGCUACAUUUCAAGAGUUCUUCUGAUGGGCUAAAUCCUGGAGGUAUGAAGGAGAUGAGUUGGUGGUGUGGCCAGGGCAUCUCAUGUGACAUAUCAAUAUGGUAUAGAAGUCAGUAGGGACAGCUUUGCCUUUCCUCCUAACACAGCUGGAACAGUUUUAACUAUCGGAAAACAGCUACAUCCCACUCUGCGCGGUCAGGAUCAUGCACUUACCAGGAACCAUCUUCAGAGCCCUUCCAAAAAAGGACAUUUCCAGCAUUGAUGUGAGUGUGGGUGGAAGAGAAAGCAGCGAGUGAGCAUCGGGGGGUUCUUGUGCCCGCAGAAGGCUUUGUCAGAUAAGGGGAUUUACUGGGAGGAGCGUGUCGGACCACAGCGCUGGUCCGUCGCUUCUGCUGAACGCACACCACUGCUGCACCCCAGCGCAUCCCUUUGCCAUCUCUGCAUUCACCUAACUGGCCACAGCAACCGAUGCAUGAGUGACCUCAGGCUGUAUUGCUGCUGCUGAGACCUGAAGCAUCAGCUCCCCUCUGCCUCACCACCUUAACAGCAGGUAUUUCCAUUUGAGAAGUGUAAUAAACUUGUGACACAA